GACGAACGCUGGCGGCGUGCUUAACACAUGCAAGUCGAACGGAGAUUUUAGCAAUAGAAUCUUAGUGGCGAACGGGUGAGUAACGCGUAGGCAAUCUGCCUUCUAGAUGGGGACAACAUCCCGAAAGGGGUGCUAAUACCGAAUGUUGUAUGAUCUUCGCAUGGAGAUGAUACUAAAGGUGGCCUCUGAAUAUGCUACCGCUAGAAGAUGAGCCUGCGUCUGAUUAGCUAGUUGGAGGGGUAACGGCCCACCAAGGCUUCGAUCAGUAGCCGGUCUGAGAGGAUGAACGGCCACACUGGGACUGAGACACGGCCCAGACUCCUACGGGAGGCAGCAGUGGGGAAUCUUCCGCAAUGGACGAAAGUCUGACGGAGCAACGCCGCGUGAGUGAAGAAGGUUUUCGGAUCGUAAAGCUCUUUCGUUAGGGACGAACGUGCUCUUUGUGAAUAAUGAGGAGUAAUGACGGUACCUAAAUAAGAAGCCACGGCUAACUACGUGCCAGCAGCCGCAGUAACAC
rnacentral:rRNA from 1 species